ensembl:snRNA U6 U6 spliceosomal RNA
UUGCUCACUUUAGCAGAACAUAUCAUGUAUCAUAUGGGAUGAUACAGAGAAGAUCAGCAUGGCCUGUAUGCAAAGAUGACAAGCAAAUUCAUGAAGCACUCCACAAAAAU